AUGAUCCAAACCCUGCUGCUGCUGAUGGUCUUAACCGGGCCGCUCCAUGGAAUCGCGCGAGCAAGCACCAUCGUUGCGCCCACUAGCCCUGCUGUUAGUGCAGCUGCUUCCGAGGAGUCUGCCUUAAGUGCCGCCACUAAAACAGCUGAGGAGGAGGACACUAAAGCAACUUCGCAGGUCAUGGAGAUAACCAGCAGGAGUGUCACUGAGCAACCCAUGGGGGUUUCAACAGAGAGUUCAACAGACGGUCAAACUGAGGGUCAAAGAGAGACUACAAUGGAUUCGACCUCUGGCACAGGGGAGGUGCCCAGCAUGUUCUCCACCACAGCGGUUCCCCACGCUGCUGAGGGCCCUGCUGUCACAGAGGCACCCCUCAGUGAUGCCCACACAACUCCUGCUGAGGACACAGGGACGAAGGAGGAACUCCUGUUGAUGCCCACGGUGCUGGUGGAGGAAACUGAGGGGGCCCUGACCACAGGGCAGGUGGUUGGCAUUGCGGUUGGUGCACUACUGGCCCUGGCAAUCGUCGUUGCUGUAGCAGCAAUGGCGGUGCGGCGGAUGGGGCAGUAUUCCCCCUGAGGAGCGAGAAAAGGCUGGCAGGAAGGGCGCCCAAGGUUCUGGAAGCCGAACUACUGAAAUAUGUCAUUUCCUGUCACUAAAUGAGCUUGCGUCCAGCACCCCAAAUCGCCCAAAGCUACCGUGGAGCCUCGCCGAACACGGGAAAUGCCAGCAUCGCUCCAACCCCAACCGAAUGCCCCCUCCCCCACCCCGCACCCACCCGUACCCCAACCGUACCUGUGUUUCAGCCUUUGAGAAGGAGAUAGGACAGGAAGGCGUCGUCGUGGCUCACAGCUUGCGUCGGUGCGUGGACCUGAAAAAUCGGAGGGAUCUUUUUCGGUAAAUUCCUCGGAGGGUGUGCGGGGGACGUACGCUUUACAGAAGGGCUGCAGGAGGUACCGGCUCCAGUCGCUUGCUUUAGCUCACAGAGGUGGGAAAAGAAGCGUGCGGUCCAUCGUAAAGACGUAUUAAAUCCUCCGGCUUCAUGUUCGCACCGCGCGUCAGGCCUUGUCUGUGGGUUAGAACCAAAGUGUAACACAACCGUACAAACCGUACGCCGCAUGCCGAAGGAAGCGGCUCCUCUACUUUACCGCGGUCUCGACACCGGCUGUGAGUCACGGCAGCGUGCCUCAUUUCCUCGUCUACUGCAACAUUCUUCCAGCUUCGACAGCGAUAUCUUUUAACGUAUCUGCGAAAUGUAACGGGACGCACAGCGGGCGCGGAGGGUGGGUGGGUGGGGGGGGGUUUACUCUGGUGUUGCUUGGAUGUUGCUCCGUUCCUUCUUUCCGUGUGCAUUCGGCGCAAUGCACCCUUCGCCGCUCGUCCACGCAUCCUGUGCAGGGAUCACUUCUAAAUUCGGGUCUUCGUUUCAAUGCAUGAGGUCUUACAUGCGGUUCAGCGGCGGCUACAGAUUGCGACUCUUACUAACGUUGAGCACACAGGUUUUUUGACAAAGGUACAUUUGUAUCUGAUCUUGGCCAGCUAAUAAACACUUGCAUCCGCUCA
ensembl:lncRNA